rnacentral:rRNA from 1 species
UACAGAGGGUGCAAGCGUUAAUCGGAAUUACUGGGCGUAAAGGCGCGUAGGCGGCCUUGUAAGUCCCGUGUGAAAUCCCUCGGCUCAACUGAGGAACUGCACGGGAAACUGCUUGGCUUGAGUUCGGGAGAGGGAAGCGGAAUUCCGGGUGUAGCGGUGAAAUGCGUAGAUAUCCGGAGGAACACCGGUGGCGAAGGCGGCUUCCUGGACCGACACUGACGCUGAGGCGCGAAAGCUAGGGGAGCAAACGGG